UGAAACAUGCCAAACUAUAAGAAGCAGUGCCCAGACGCUAGCAUGGGGAGAGGUUAGCAACUACUGAGAGGCAGAAUACUGUAGUGAUUAAAAGUCCUACAGUCAUAUGUCCAGGAUUUGUUUUCCAGCUCCUACAGAACUACAUAGGAUUUGGGGUGGCCAUUAAUUCCUUGAGGCCAGUGAGUAUUAUUUGAUAGCUCCAUUUUACAGAAGAGGAAACUCAAGUUGGAAAGGUCAAGCAACAUGGCCAAGGUCGCCCAGCCAACAGUGCUUAAAGAAAAUAACAAAUGCAAGACUUUUAGAAAAGUAUUUUACAUGUUGAGAAAUGGAAGUUUAAAUACAAAAUAAAAAACAUUUCGGGCUCAUUGUAAUUCUCCAAAAGUGUCAUGGAUAUGUUUUCACCAGUCAGGAUGAUCAUCCCCGAAGCCUGGAUUUCAGUGAGCACGGGCUUUACAAAGAAACUGCCACAUGGAUUGGGAGUGAGGGAAGGAAUAAGAUGGUGUUCUCACCAACAAAGAAAUAAAUGCAGUUACUGUGAAGAUUAUGUGAAAAGUUAUGAGAUUCUAUGCAAAAAUUUGCUGAAUUCAGUUUUGGACUGAAGUAUGAAGAGCCUGGGUCUCCAGAAUAGAGAAUAAAGGUAAUUACAGUUAGGGUACAAACGAGA